rnacentral:rRNA from 1 species
UACCAUGCAAGUCGAACGGCAGCGCGGGGUAACCUGGCGGCGAGUGGCGAACGGGUGAGUAAUACAUCGGAACGUGCCCUGUGAUGGGGGAUAACUACGCGAAAGCGUAGCUAAUACCGCAUACGACCUACGGGUGAAAGUGGGGGAUCGCAAGACCUCACGUCAUAGGAGCGGCCGAUGGCGGAUUAGCUAGUUGGUGAGGUAAAGGCUUACCAAGGCAACGAUCCGUAGCUGGUCUGAGAGGACGACCAGCCACACUGGGACUGAGACACGGCCCAGACUCCUACGGGAGGCAGCAGUGGGGAAUCUUGGACAAUGGGGGCAACCCUGAUCCAGCAAUGCCGCGUGUGGGAUGAAGGCCUUCGGGUUGUAAACCACUUUUGGCGGGGGCGAAAUAUCGAGUGCUAAUACCAUUCGGUGAUGACGGUACCCGCAGAAUAAGCACCGGCUAACUACGUGCCAGCAGCCGCGGUAAUACGUAGGGUGCAAGCGUUAAUCGGAAUUACUGGGCGUAAAGCGUGCGCAGGCGGUUAGGUAAGACAGAUGUGAAAUUCCCGGGCUCAACCUGGGAACUGCAUUUGUGACUGCCUGACUAGAGUGCGGCAGAGGGGAGUGGAAUUCCGCGUGUAGCAGUGAAAUGCGUAGAUAUGCGGAGGAACACCGAUGGCGAAGGCAACUCCCUGGGCCUGCACUGACGCUCAUGCACGAAAGCGUGGGGGAGCAAACAGGAUUAGAUACCCUGGUAGUCCACGCCCUAAACGAUGUCGACUAGUUGUUGGGACGGGUUACUGUUCAGUAACGAAGCUAACGCGUGAAGUCGACCGCCUGGGGAGUACGGGCCGCAAGGUUAAAACUCAAAGGAAUUGACGGGGACCCGCACAAGCGGUGAUGAUGUGUU